AUAUGGGGGCAUGAUAUGCUGCGAUGAGAAAUUUACAUUAGAACUGCACCAAUUUCCAUUGUCAAGUUUCAAUCAUAUAAGCUGAACAAAAACAAUAAAUCUUUUACAAUGAAAAGAUUUUAAGCAUACUAGAAGAGUGUGAAUAAGAUCAGCAUAAAGAAUAUCUAAAUCAUAAGAAGAUUAGAUGAGACAAAAAUUUUAUGCAAUUGAAAAAUAAUUUACUGCAUUUAUUGGCAAAG
rnacentral:misc_RNA from 1 species